UCUUGAAAAUAAAUAUAUAAUAAGUGUUAUUACCAGGGUACUACGAGUAUAAAUUAAUUAAUUUUAAAACCCAAAGAGCUUGGCGGUGUUUUAGACUAUUUAGGGGAGCUUGUUUCGUAAUCGACAAUCCACGUUAAACCUAACCUUUUUUGUAGACAGUAUGUAUAUCGUUGUCGUCAGGUAACUUUUAAAAAAUAAGAAGUUAGCAAAUAAAUAUAAUAAAUUUAAACGUCAAAUCAAGAUGCAGCUUAUAAAUAGGUGAGAAUGAGCUACAAUUAAAAUUCAUAAUAUGGAUGAGAAAAGCAAUUUUUUCUUUGAAGGAGGACUUAAAAGUAAAAAUUUAAUUAUAAAAAUUUUUUGAAUUUAGCUCUGAAACGUGC
rnacentral:rRNA from 1 species